GAGAGGCAAACUUUUUCUAUAAAGGGCUGGAGAGAAAAUAGCCUUGCAAAUCUCAUGGUCCCUUACAUAUUCUUGUUUUCUCACACUUUAAAAUCUUAAAACCACUCUCAGUUCAUCUAAUGAGUUGUGGGCAGCAGUCUGCUCCAGGGCCAGCUGGUUAUCUGGUCGUAAGGAUCCAAGCACUAACAACCCCCUCCGGCCUGUCCCUAUUUCUGUGCUUUAACAGCAGGCAUCCAGGAACACCAAGGUCAAAGGUCAUCUGGAAGGCAGGCCCCCCUGUUCUGCAUCGGGCCUUUUCCUACCUCAACCCUCGCCAUCUGUGGUGUCCUGAGGCCUCACUCACCAGGUUCCAGAGGCGUUGACAGAGCAGAACUUCACCUGAGUUGUGCACCUCCCCAGCCCUCAGGAGCCAUUAGAAGUGCAGUGGCCCCCCUUCCACAGAACAUCUUAACUAAGCUUCUCCAGAAAUCUUCACCACAGCUGAUUUUAGGACUAUCAGCAAGAGGCUCUACAAAAGAGUUCAGUGUAAUUAAACUUCCUAUUUUCCUGUUGCUCCAUUUUACUUGGCCACUGGCCUGGAAGAGAUCAGCACUCCAGGUGCUGCAGGCCCCUUUACUAGUUUUUCACAAACAUGUAUCCAGUAUAGUAGUUUGUAGAAGUGUGUUUGCAAAUGCAGACUGUGAUUAAAAAACAAAUCCUUCAACAAGGCCUCUGGCCUUGAGCUGGGCUUCACAGAGAUGUCUACAUUUCUAAGAUCAGAGAAGUUACCAAUUGGGCUCCACGGUCACAGCGGGCAGGGGAGGAAAGGAAGGGGAGAAGAAGCUCCCCCCUUCUCAGGCGCUGUCCUUCAAGGGUUAACUUGCCCAGAACAGUGAAAAGCUGCUUUUAUGUGAACUGCUGCAGGCUGUGAACUUCUGAGCCCCUCCCCUCACAGCGCUGGGUAUAAAACUCUGAAACUGCCUGAACUCGGGGUUCAGGGGAUUAAUUGAUUUCAGCAAAAGAUCUGCCCUCUGAACCUGGCUGCAGCCAAAUAAAACUGUUUCCUGCUGUCUUCGGUCCCUUGCCUCGUCUGUCCCCUGCAACAGAAACAGCGAGUGUUAGGGAGAGGAACAAGGGGAGAGGGGAAAGUGGGAAGAACGGUGCGGAUGCCCACAGGCUGCACCAGUUCAGGCCAGCAGGGCAUGUGUCUGGGCAGGACAGGCCUGAAGCUCACAACAGUGGCCACUGGAUAGAGCAGGCACCAGGGAGUUUUUCCAGGAUGAUGAAGGCAGAGAAAAUUCAUUCUCCAUGGGACCAGCCGAUCCAGGGAGGAGAGGAAGAAUAUGAAAAUGCAGAAGAGAAGAAAUGGUGCAGGUCAAGUUUCCAGAAGAGCUGGACAGUGGAGGAGGCCCAGCAGCACAUGGGGCCUGUGCACCUGCCCCUGGCAGCGACACAUGGUGCAAAGCCAGGCACAGGUGUCCACGGAGGUGAAGCAAGGAAAGAAAAGUGGAGGGACUCGGGAAUCGCAGCCGGUUGUAGAGUCACCUGGGAUGGCACCUUGCUGUGAGCACCACCGACAGGUGUCUGAACCACCACAAAGAGUGGACAGAGCUUUCAAGGCACAGGGUCAGUGGAGAGGAGGGUCCACACUGGUCUCAGGCUGGGCCUCCAAGUUGGAAGCCCCAGGAACCAGUACUGGUUCUGCAAGGACUGCAUGCCCCGGGUAAGUUGCUUAAAAUCUCUGAAGCGUGGUUUUUAUUUUUUCAAAAUGGAGAUAAUGAUCUAAUUCCCGGGGGUUAUUCUGAGUUCAAAGUACAAAGCUCCUUACACCAGAAACCACACAACUGAAAGGACCAAGGAACAGCCUGCAAACUGCAGCUCCCCAGGGUGGGAGGACACUGUGGUGACUGAAGUGGUUUAUUUAUGAACAUUCAGCUAACCACAUACUCAGCGAAUGAAGGCAAACGACCACCGGUCAGAUGUGCUGAAGAAAUGACCUCCACCAGACUGACACGGAGAAAGGCUGGGGGACUUCCUCAUACAGCAGGACACAGGGUCCCCAGAGUCACAGAAAGGCCAGGAACGACGUGUCAGUGGGUGCCCACCCAGA
rnacentral:lncRNA from 1 species